AGCGAACGCUGGCGGCAGGCCUAACACAUGCAAGUCGAACGAACCUUUCGGGGUUAGUGGCGGACGGGUGAGUAACACGUGGGAACUUGCCUUUAGGUUCGGAAUAACUCAGGGAAACUUGUGCUAAUACCGAAUGUGCCCUUCGGGGGAAAGAUUAAUCGCCUUUAGAGCGGCCCGCGUCUGAUUAGCUAGUUGGUUGAGGUAAUGGCUCACCAAGGCGACGAUCAGUAGCUGGUCUGAGAGGAUGAUCAGCCACAUUGGGACUGAGACACGGCCCAAACUCCUACGGGAGGCAGCAGUGGGGAAUCUUGCGCAAUGGGCGAAAGCCUGACGCAGCCAUGCCGCGUGAAUGAUGAAGGUCUUAGGAUUGUAAAAUUCUUUCACCGGGGACGAUAAUGACGGUACCCGGAGAAGAAGCCCCGGCUAACUUCGUG
rnacentral:rRNA from 1 species